UCCCUGACAAGAGAGAGGACUCCCAUGAUUCGUCAUUGUAAAUGUCAGAAAUUGGAGACCAAAUCACGUUUUGGCAUUGAAAAGGAGCUCUCGUUUAUUUAUCAGCUUUGCUAGUAGUAAAAGUUGUAAGAAUUAAAUUAAAUAGCCAUUUUGAAGAAUUGUUUGCCACUUUUCAAAUUGAGAUUCCUAUAUAGCUCUGAGGAUAAGACUUUGGGAGUGAGGAUUAGAAAGUGAUCCAUUCGUUUUGGUAUCUUCUCUAACGUAUAACGGAAGCUCAAUUAAACAAAAGAGACCAACUUACAGAGAAAACAAAAUUGGAUGAUAAAAUGGCAAAAAGAAAAGAGAAGCACUGUUGCCAAGGAUCAAACCCGAGUUACCCGCGUGACAGUCAGGAAAACUCACCACUAUACUACAACAGCUUGUUAUUUAACUAUACGCAACGAAAAUAUAUAAUUAUAGUACCAAAGAUGUGUUUUCUAUGUGGAAGCUGAACCGCAUCAAAUUCUAAUGCUUGAAGUUGGAUUGAGGUGACCUACUACAUUUCCAAAGAGAUACAGUUUAAAAAAUAUCAUAAAUCAAAAGUAUUGGAGAAGCUUAUUUAA